GGAUUGUGGCUCAGCGGUAGAGCACUUGCCUAGCACGUGUGAGGCCUUAGGUUUGAUCCUCAGCACCA
rnacentral:tRNA from 1 species